GAUGAAGAACGCAGCGAAAUGCGAUAAGUAAUGCGAAUUGCAGAAUUUCCGUGAGUCAUCGAAUCUUUGAACGCACAUUGCGCCCCCUGGUAUUCCGGGGGGCAUGCCUGUUCGAGCGUCAUUUCACCACUCAAGCCUCGCUUGGUAUUGGGCAACGCGGUCCGCCGCGUGCCUCAAAUCGACCGGCUGGGUCUUCUGUCCCCUAAGCGUUGUGGAAACUUUCGCUAAAGGGUGUUCGGGAGGCUACGCCGUAAAACAACCCCAUUUCUAAGGUUGACCUCGGAUCAGGUAGGGAUACCCGCUGAACUUAAGCAUAUCAAUAAGCGGAGGA
rnacentral:misc_RNA from 1 species